rnacentral:SRP_RNA from 1 species
AAUCAGGCCGUACGCUGUGGUUCGGUGCCCAACCCCGUCAGGACCGGAAGGUAGCAGCGGUAAGUAUCAGGGCCAGGAGAUGUAUGUGAGCUUGAUUGGA